rnacentral:rRNA from 1 species
AUUGAACGCUGGCGGCAUGCCUUACACAUGCAAGUCGAACGGCAGCACGGGAGCAAUCCUGGUGGCGAGUGGCGAACGGGUGAGUAAUAUAUCGGAACGUGCCCAGUAGUGGGGGAUAACUGCUCGAAAGAGCAGCUAAUACCGCAUACGACCUGAGGGUGAAAGGGGGGGAUCGCAAGACCUCUCGCUAUUGGAGCGGCCGAUAUCAGAUUAGCUAGUUGGUGGGGUAAAGGCCUACCAAGGCAACGAUCUGUAGUUGGUCUGGGAGGACGACCAGCCACACCGGGGCUGAGACACGGCCCAGACUCCUACGGGAGGCAGCAGUGGGGAAUUUUGGACAAUGGGCGCAAGCCUGAUCCAGCAAUGCCGCGUGCAGGAAGAAGGCCUUCGGGUUGUAAACUGCUUUUGUCAGGGAAGAAAUCCUCUAGGUUAAUACCCUUGGGGGGAUGACGGUACCUGAAGAAUAAGCACCGGCUAACUACGUGCCAGCCGCCGCCGUAAGAC